CCUACGGGAGGCAGCAGUGGGGAAUAUUGCACAAUGGGGGAAACCCUGAUGCAGCGACGCCGCGUGAGUGAAGAAGUAAUUCGUUAUGUAAAGCUCUAUCAGCAGGGAAGAAAAUGACGGUACCUGAGUAAGAAGCCCCGGCUAACUACGUGCCAGCAGCCGCGGUAAUACGUAGGGGGCAAGCGUUAUCCGGAUUUACUGGGUGUAAAGGGAGCGUAGACGGCAGUGCAAGUCUGGAGUGAAUGGCGGGGGCUCAACCCCCGGACUGCACCUGAAACUGUACGGCUUGAGUGCAGGAGAGGUAAGUGGAAUUCCUGGUGGAGCGGUGAAAUGCGUAGAUAUUAGGAGGAACACCAGUGGCGAAGGCGGCUUACUGGACUGUAACUGACGUUGAGGCUCGAAAGCGUGGGGAGCAAACAGGAUUAGAUACCCUAGUAGUC
rnacentral:rRNA from 1 species